rnacentral:rRNA from 1 species
UAUCACUUUGUGGUUCAUGACUGGGGUGAAGUCGUAACAAGGUAGCGCUAGGGGAACCUGGCGCUGGAUCACCUCCUUAAACGAUGAU